rnacentral:misc_RNA from 1 species
UUUUUUUUUUUUAGAACAAAAUAAUUCUCCUCUAUUGUAGAUAAAUAACAAUACAUACGGAAUAUAUGCUUCUUACAUGAAUAAGCACCUAAUAGUUUCCGAAAAUAGAGUAUACUCUCUUGUAUAGGGGUUGUUCCUUUUUCCCUUUUACUGAGGCAGCACCUGCACAGCUCCACCAAGGUAGUUAUCGUCUUUACAGUGUCUAGACGCCCAUCGUUGCCCACCUACCCAUAAGCAAACAUAAAAACCAGUGCGCUUCCAUGCCCAUAACUUUGUAUAGUUUAAAUACAGUGGCAUCUUGCUAUCGUAUGCAUAUCUCAGAACUUUGCUAUUAUUUUAUUCAACUAGAUGUU